ensembl:lncRNA
UGUGUUUUUGAUAGUAACUAAUUUUCAGAUUUAUUAUUUGAAAAUAUUUCUCUCAUUUUCUAGGUUAUCUUUUCAUUUUGUUGGUGGUGUCACAUGCUGUGCAGAAGUCCUUUAGUUUGAUGUAGUCCCAGUUGUUUAGUUUUGCUUUUCUUGUUGCUUCUGCUUUUGGUAUUAAACCCAAAACAUCAUUAUCAAGACUAAUGUCCCAGAGCUUAUCCCCUAUGUUUUCUUCUAAAGAUUUUAUGGUUGCAGGUCUUACUUUUAAGUCUUUAAUCCAAUAUGAGCUGAUUUUUCCUAAUCAUAUCCCUAAAGAUUAGUGAUGCUGCACAUAUUUUCAUGUGCUGUCGGCCAUUUGUACAACUUGUUUGGAGAAAUGUCUAGACAAUUCCUUGAUCAUUUUUUAAUCAGGUUGUUUUAUUGCUGCUUUUGAGUUGUAGUCAUUUUUAUAUAUUUGGAUAUAUAUAUCAGACAGUUGGUUUACAAAUAUUUUAUCUCAUUCCAUAGGUGGUCUUUUCACUCUCCUGAUUGUGUCCUGUGCUUAACAGAACUGUAAAUUUUGAUGUUGUCCAAUUUAUCUCUUUUUACUUCUGUGGCCUGUGUUUUUCUAUCAUAUCCAAGAAAUCAAUGGGCAAAUACAAUGUCAUAAACAUUUUCUUCUAUGAUUUCUUCUAUCAGUUUUGUAGUUUUAGCUAUUACGUUUUACUUUUUGAUACAUUUUCAGUUAUUUUUGUAUAUGGUGUAAAGUAAGCGUCCAACUUCAUUCUUUUGCAUGUCCAGUUUUCCUAGCACCAUUUAGCGAAACAAACUGUCCUUUCCCUAUUGAAUGACCUUGCCCCCUUGUUGAAAAUCAUUUGCCCAUAUAGGUGAAGGUUCGUAUUUGAGCUCUCUGUUCAGUUCCGUUUGUUGAUAUGCCUGUCUUUAUGCCAGGGCUGCACUGUUUUGAUCACCAUGCUUUUGAAUUAAAGUCUCGAAAUCAGGAACUGGGAGUCCCACAGCUUUAUUCUCUUUCAGGACUGUUUUGGCUAUUUGAGGUCCCUUGAUUCCAUAUGCAUUUUAGGAUAGGUUUUUCUUUCCUGAAUAAAUUCCAGUGGGAUUCUGGUAAAGAUUGCAUUGAUUCUGUAGGUCACUUUCAGUAGUAUGGACAUCAUAAUAACAGUAAGUGUUACAAACCUGAACCCGGAAUAUCUUCUCAGUUAUUUAUGUCUCCUUAAUUUCUUUAAGCAGUGUUUUCUAUUUUCUCUGGACAACUCUAUCAAUUCAUUGGUUAAGUUAAUUCCUAGAUAUUUUAUACUUUUUGAUUCUUUUUGUAAAUGGAAUGAAUUUGGACCCUUACCUGACACAAUAUAUACAAAAGUUAACUGAAAAUAUAUCCAAAAUCUAAUGUAAGAGCCAAAAUUGUAAAAUGCUUAAGAAAAUCUGGGGGUGAAGCUUCAUGGUUUGCCAAUGGCCUCUUGGAUAUGACACAAAAAGCACAGACAACAAAAGUAAAAGUAGAUAAAUUGGAAUACAUCAACAUUUAAAAGUUCUGUUCAUCAGAAGACACAACCAACAGAGGGAAAAGACAAACUAUGGAAUGAGAUAAAAUAUUUGUGAACCAUCCAUUGGCUAAGCAGUUAAUAUCCAGAACAUAUAAACAAUGAUUACAAUAACAUAGUUUUAUAUCUCUUUUCAAAAGGAGCCCACAUAAAAACUGUAUUAUUUACUUUGGCACAUGCCAGAAAUACACAAAUAACCAUCCGUACUCUUCACUUAGAUUGUUUCAUUCUCCAAUGAUUUUAUAGGAUUCCUGACAACGUCAUAGUUGCGUGUGUCGAGGGAGAGGUAGCUGAGGAACAAUCCCCUGUCUCUAACUGGGAUUGUGAGCCGGCUGUGUAUGCAACACCCUUGUGCCUUCAGAAACCACCCAGGCCCAGUUUCUGUAAAUAUUAAUUCCCCCUGGUUGUGGAGUGUUACAGGGUAAAUUCAACCUUAGGGCUAGGUGGUUGAGAUGACACCCAACUCAUGAUCAUUG